GGGUUGGGGCUGAGUGACCAGUCAAUUCCCCAGGGGACUCGAGUGCAGGCUUCCCCCGGUGCCGUCACGGCCAUGGCAUCAAGAGAGCAGACGACACUCGUUUCUUUUGCCGUGGACCAGACGCUCUUAAGAUGAAAGAUGUGUUACUUGCUCUACCCUGCCACACUCAGAAAGGUCUCCAUGUGACUCUCAGAAAUGACGGGGGCACGGGACCUCCUCUUUUCAUUUUUGAGGUUCAUUUUUCUUCUGGUUAUAGAAGUGAAGUCUCAUUUUUAGGUCUUUGAAGACCUCGAAGUAUAAUUUCUAAAAGCAAACAUUUUAACAUCAGAUUGUACUUCCUACUAUGAAGAGAAGCCAUCACUGAUUUAAGACCUACUCAUGCUACUGGAGAGUACUAACAUAAAAAAAGUUACUUUAAAGGGAGGAAUAGUAGAUGAACAUGGAAAAAUCCAUCACCAAGGCCAUUGUUAUGCAUUUCCUCAAAGAA